CCCAUGCACACAUAGAAUCCCAUACCUCUCUCUCUCUCUCUCUCUCUCUCUCUCUCUAUAGAAAGAAACCCCAUUUUCGUCACCAUUUUCAGAGUCACAGACACACGCAGAGACCCCAUUCUAUUUUGGACUCUUGUUUUUUUUCCAUUGGGUCGCUCGCAUUUUCUUGAACAUUUCUUGUGCUCUGUUCUUCUCGAGCCCUGUUCUCUUUUGCCCAUAAAGAGAAACAAAGCGGCCAAGUUUCUUUGUUGCUUUCUGUCAAACUUCUGUGCAAACCCCAUCGCGCGUGUGACCAUCAGCGAAAGACCCACAAAGCCUCAACCUUUUUUCAGGUUAUUCCUCCUUUUAGGGUUUUGCGUUGGAUUUCGUUUCUGGGUGCAGCGAUUUGUUCUUGCUCAAAUCCAUUCCCCCAAAACCCUCUUUUCUGAGGGUGAAGACCAAAACCCACAAAGCAAUUCUCACCUGGGUCUCUCUUCUUUCUCCUACUCCAAAAUUGCUUUUAGGGUUUCGUCCCAAUUCCGCUACUGUGCUCAGAACCACCGCCUCUCAUGGGCAGCAAUGUCGAAUUCGAAGGCUACCCAUUUCACUACUCCCACCCAGAAUCUCAUUUCAUUUAGGCAUUUCGUCGAACACCUGGUCUGCACUUGAGCUCGAAUUGGAUUUCUCACAUGGGUUGUGUCCAUGGCAAGUGUUGCGGUCGUUUUCCCAAGUCCUCCGACGGCGAUCCCCGGGAAUUCAGAGACUCCGGACCCUACAGCGCUCAGAGGAAGCAGCACAUACUCACAGAGAGGUCAUUGGAGUUGGUCCCCGUUCCUUCACACAGCUUCAAUUUGGAGUACACUGUCCUAACGCAGAGGGGUUACUAUCCCGACUCGCCGGAUAAGGAUAAUCAGGACAGUUUCUGUGUUAAAACACAGCUUCAAGGUAACCCAAAUAUCCAUUUCUUUGGUGUGUUUGAUGGGCAUGGUCAAUUUGGUACCCAGUGUGCUAAUCUUGUUAAGGAUAGACUGGUAGAGGUAUUAGCAGAUGAUCCCACAUUGCCUGAUGACCCUGUGGAAGCUUAUAAUUCUGCUUUUUUAACCACGAAUAGCGAGCUGCAUAGUAGUGUAAUUGAUGAUACUAUGAGUGGUACCACGGCGAUUACUGUGCUUGUGGUUGGGAAUACGCUGUAUGUUGCGAAUGUGGGUGAUUCGAGAGCAGUGAUUGCAGUGAAAGAUGGUAAUAGGAUUAUUGCGGAGGAUUUGUCUUGUGACCAAACGCCGUUUAGGAAAGAUGAGUAUGAGAGAGUGAAGCAGUCUGGAGCCAGGGUUUUGAGUGUUGAUCAAGUGGAAGGGCUUAAGGAUCCAAGCAUUCAGAGUUGGGGUGAUGAAGAGAGUGAAGGGGGUGAUCCUCCAAGGCUGUGGGUUCAAAAUGGUAUGUAUCCUGGGACUGCAUUUACAAGGAGCGUUGGUGAUAGUACUGCUGAGAAGAUUGGUGUUGUUGCAACUCCGGAAGUGUCAAUGGUUCAGCUGACUCCCAAUCAUCUUUUCUUUGUCGUUGCAAGUGAUGGGGUUUUUGAGUUCCUCUCAAGCCAAGCUGUUGUUAAUAUGGCAGCAAAAUAUUCAGAUCCUCGGGAUGCAUGUGCUGCCAUUGCUGGAGAAUCAUAUAAGUUAUGGUUGGAACAUGAAAACCGAACAGAUGAUAUAACAAUUAUCAUUGUUCACAUCAAAGGCUUGUCUAAUUCAGCUGGUGGUGCUACAGAUGGAACAGAUGGGAGCACUAAUAGAGCUGCAAGGAGGAGGAGAAAAGGGAAUUCUGGGUCAUCAUUUAACAGCGGUUCGGAAGUUUUCCGUUCAGUGAGAAGUGAUUCCUCAGAGAUACAGUCUUGUCAGCUUGUGCUUUCGAUGAAUCGAAACCCAGCUAUUGUUGUUCCAUCUCCUACAUGUCAAAGCCCUAGAAAUAGUGUUUGAACUGAAAGGUGUUGCAGAAGUUGCCACACAUCUUCUUGUUAUUUUUCUCAAGUGGAUGCGGGUUAGUGGUGCAAUUCAACCAACAACAGAAGCAGUUGGUUCUGCAUAUACUGUAUAAUCUUGGACCCUAAUCUUUGGGUUCUCUUGCUAAUCUCACUAAUGACACUGUUUCUGACCAUAUCAUAUCGAACUUGGAGGAAAACGUAUUCUUCUUGAGCUGUAGCUGUGCAUCUGCUAAUCCAGAGAGGGAGGAAUGGGAUUGAAGUAGGAGGAUCAUCAUAUAUAGGAGGUCUCUUUACACGUAUUUGCAGGAGCAUAUUCCUUGUACUUAAUAUCGUAGAAGUUUUAGCUUUGGUUGUAACUCUUCAUCCUUCAAAACCUUAAAGUGGAUGAGUAAGUAAUAUAUCGUCAAUCUUGUCUGCACUAUCCAUUUUAUGAUUUCCCUUGGGCUUUGAAUUGAAUUGUCUAUGUUGCUAGCUGAUUUAGGCAA